rnacentral:lncRNA from 1 species
GAUGCUUUCACCAACCAAGAACUGAUGUCCAGUCGCCAAUGCAAAACCAACACUCCUUGUGGCUCCAGUAUGUUGCUAGGGAAUAUGGUGCCCUGGUGCCAUGGGUAAGGUGAUCUCCAGGAGCAGCUGCAUGACUUUCGCCACUGCCACUAAAAGAGUCACCUUUACCACGGCCCCAAGGGUAUCUGGAGAACUAUUUAGGUCAGCAAAGAAUUGCCUUGCCCAGAACAAAACUCUGGGAUGGUCCUCACAAACUCUGGGAAUUAAAACCUAAAUGUCCCCUCACCAUAUUUGCUUCUUCAUAUGUUUUGAUCAAUAAGCUCCCAGCAGGGCCCCUGGGUAGCUGAGCUCUGAGUGCUUAUCAGUGACAGUAGAUGAGAUGUUGACAUCCUGACACAGCUUCCUUCAUUCUUAUAUCAAAGCAACUUCUAAAACCAACUUUUUUUUGGCCUUUGUCAUAAACAAGUGGAUUUGAAAUCAUAUCAAACCAACACACAACAGCAAACCACAAGCAAUUCAUUUUUAGUAGCCAGAUUUGAAAAGGUGAAAAGAGGGCUUUCCCUUGUGGUGCAGCAGGUUAAGGAUCCGGCAUUGUCACUGCAGGCUCAGGUCGCUGCUGUGGUGUGGGUUCAGCCCCUGGCCCAGGAAUUUCCACAUGCCAUGGACACGGCCAAAAAAAAAUAAUAACAAUACUACAAUAAAAGGCAACAGGAGAAAUGAAUGCUGACAACAUUUAGUAUUUUAAUAAAAUAUCUUAUUUAACCCAGUAUGUCCAAAAUAUUACCAUUUCAACAUGUAGUUAAUGUAUUUUUUUUAAUUUUUGAGGUGUUUUAUGGAGCUUACCUGAGGGCAGGGACUUCCUUCAGGCUUGAAUCUUGCACUAUGCUUAUCACAGUGCUUUGCACAUAAGUCCUCCAUAAGCAUUUGUUGAAAUGAGUUAUAGGGAUAAAAAUCCGGGGUGCCCUAUGAGCAUAAAUUUGCACUGUGAAAAGGUUAAGAGUAGAAAGAACACAGAGAAUACUGAGAAAUUCAUUUGAAUUUCAGAGAGAGAGACAUGGGAGGAGGAUGCUGAGAAUUGGGAGAAGAGGUGCACAUGGGGGGCAGUCGGCAGACCCUUGAAGAGCCCCAGAGAAAUCAGAGACCCGGCAUUAUCUCAUUAUCACAUUAAAGAGCUUGAGCUUGGGUUGACUGCCCUUUGUUGACAGGAUACCUGUUUGAUCUUAUAAAACAACAUGGUGAGAGAAGUUUCCUAUGGCUUCUGUGAAAUUGCUCUGCAUUUCACAGAAAAGCUCUCUCAAUCCCCAAACUGGAACGAAUGUGAAGUGAUUAACUGCCCCAGAUUCUACUAAAAGGAAAAAAAUCUCAAAAUGGCUCAAGUAACUGGUUAAACUAUUGGAAACAUUUAAGAGUGAGUACCAUCAUCAAGGGAAAUAAUGAAAGACACAAGAUGGUCCUUGGCCUGAGCAGAAUGUGGCCCAUUUCUGCUCCCUCUGAACCCAUCCUGUCACUAUAAACUUUGGUGAUUUUAUGUUAACACAGUUCAAAAAGCCCUGUGUAGGGGAGUCACCAAUCCAUAUAAGAAGAAACCAUCUCUGCCUCUGAACCAUUUUUUUAAAGGAAACCCAGAAGCCCCUUCAGUAGAGACAUAUCAUUGGCCAGACAAGUGCCAUGUGAUCCUUCUAAACCAAUCACCAGCAAGGCACUGAACACUCUGAUUGGUUGAAAUGAAUCAAGGCCCUCAGCAGGGGCUGCAAUGGGACCAGCCUCCCGGAAGCAGCACUUGGCUGAUAGAAAGAAGAGUUUCUGGAGGGACUGAAGUUCUGUUAGGAAGGUGUGGAGUGGAGGUCAGAGGUAACAGAUGCUAGGUCUGUUAACAACAGCGAAUGCUCCAGCCUGAGUAUCAGUUUUUAAUUUGACUUGUUAAACUGAUGAAACCUCAGCUUUUUUCCUCUGAGAGUGUUCAGUUUUCUGUGGAAUUAUAUGAUAGAACGUGGUAGCAAAAGCAUGGGUUUUGGGGUCAGAAGACCUGGGUUUACUUUUUUGCGUACCGCCUACAGGCAGUAUGUACUCAUAGGCGUUUCACAUAACCUCUUAAACUCUUUCUUCUGGCUUGCAAAAUGGGGAUAAUAAUUCUUCCUGUUGUGAAUAUUAAGAAACAGAAAGUAUAUAAGGAAUCCAGGAUAGUGCCUGCCAUAUACUAGGUGCCUUUGUCGUGAAACCCCUUUCUCUGUGUUAGAAAUGGUGGUGAUACGGGGUGGGCCGGCUGCUUAUUCAUUCGCUGGGGAGUUGACAUCCUAGAUUUGUUUUCAGGGGAAACACAUGAAAUUACAUGAAAUUACAGUUUCAAGGAGUCUUCUGAGGAAACAGGGACAGUGAAGUAUUUUUCAUAAAUACUGAGGAAGGGAGGCAUCUAGAGUCCAUCUAGCAAAUUAGGGGGCCCAGACAAAAGAGCACACACUGGCAUGCCCUUUGUCUCCUUACCAGGACUCGACACUGUGCUUGUUCACUGGCCACUGUCAGUAAGAGUGGCUGGAUUCUAAAAGGGCCCAGGGAGCCACAGCCACCCCCCUCCAACGCACCUUCGCUUAGCUUCUGCUCCUUGUCCAUAGCUCCAUCGUUAACAUCUCUCACAUUGUCUUACAGAACCCACCCAUCUUCAUGAAUCUUCUGUACUUAGUUCAGUUUCUCCUACUAGACCAAGGGUGAGCAUAGGAACCUUUUUAAAUUGAUCUUGUCUCCCUAAGAGAAAUUCCAGGAAUAAAAGUGUCUGCUUAGUAUGUAAAUUAUAAAGGAGAUUGCCAUUUGCUAACUAAAAUGUGACCCCUUUUAGUGCCAUGAGGAGGUCAUGGGAUGUUCACUUUUGUCUUUAAGGGAUGAUGGCCAAGCGAACAGAACCGCCCUCCGGGGAGCCAUUAAAAAGGCUUAGGAAGGGCUGAGGCUCUGACCCACAUUUCAUUUUUUUUCCCCCACAUUUCAUUUUUAAGACACUGCCAUCUUCUUGCUGAGUCAUUCUUUUCUUGUCUGAGCUUCUCUGGGCAGCUCUCUUUUAAACUAUUGCUUCCUGAGAGGGAGUUCUUGUUCCUCUCUUCAGGUAGAGUGGCUCAGAUUUUAUGGGAUCGGCUCUCUUCACUUUGCUGCUUUUCUCCAGGAGCUGUAUGUUUACCAGACUCCCUUUAAGAAGAAUGUCCAAUUUUCUAAAUAGUCUUGAUAGAAGUUCGGCAGUGGUGGCCUCGUCCCUAUUUUGGGAUUUCCACACAUUACGCAUGCUGUGAUGUUUCCUCUCUUCCGAUGGUUCAUUUCUUGAAUGGUGGAGCUCAGAAUCCUAACUUGGACAGACUACAUCUCAGAUGCUACAGUCUGUCACGUCAUUAAAAUGCUUCUGCUCUUUUGCUCUCAGUGAAUACAUUAAUGGACGUGCUUAACAAUGAAAGGCAGUCCAUUUCCAUAUUUAUUAUUGCAAAUCAGGAAGUAGGUGAAGAGAUGGACCUGGUGACUACCAGCAUUUGCAGCAGAGGGAAGGGUAGGAGAGCAUGACCACACUAUGAAGCCAAGUCCUUCUCUCCAUGUAAGUUCCAAAUACCAACUGGUAUCUCAGUGAUGGAAACCUGCUAAAACCUUGAAACCAAUAGCCACACCAUCAUUUGGCAUUAAGUGGACUUGUCUUUGGCCUUACAUGAUACUCUCACCUUCCCUUUCAAAGGACCUGAUCUUUUUCUCAAUGAUGGACCCUUUGGUGCCCCCUGUUCUCUGCCCUGUGUUGGGGUAGGGAGGUCCAGAAACCAUUUCUUCUUCCUUUCUCUCAUGUGUUUGCCUACCAGUAGAAACAAUAGUACUGUUUCCAAUCUGAGUUUUCUUGUGCUUUUCUAGAUUCUCAUGCAUCCCAGCACAUUCUCCCCCCGCCCCCAUCUUCCCUUCUUCUGUUCAUCUCUUGCUGUCCACGCAAUUCAAAUGACUGCCUCUUAUUACGGCAGCAGCCUCUUCAGUGGGUCGUGUUGUAAAACAAUAUAGAUCUUUUUCCUCUUUACUCCGAAAAACGAAUGUCUUUGGUGGUCAAAAAGAAAAUUAGUAGCAGCUGAAAGUAGAAUUUUAAUGACCCUAAAACCUCAUUGUUAUUCAGCUUUAACUUGAAAUCCUACCUCCUCUUCCACAAAUUCCUAUUAAUUCAUCAGCUAAAUAAUGUGGCUGCUGCUAAAGAUUCUGACACCUAAUUCUCUGCCUGUGCAGGUUUAUUGCCAGGGUGAAAAAUACUUUGUCUUUUUGCUUUCAUUUUUUUAAAACAAGCAUAAUGAAAAUAUAAAAUAUUGUUUAGGAUUUAUCUAAGAGGACUUGGCAGCUUCUGUGAGAAAUGGUUGGAUGGGGAGAUAUGAAUCAAAUUUGGAAGCCCUCUCUCCCAGCUCCCUAGUCAUUAUUUGAAUGAGUAUGAACUGAUUGGGCGUGGAGAAGAUCUCUCCAUCCAUAGCUAUAACUAUGACCCAUAUCCAUUUAUUUCUUUAAAAUUUUAACAUGAAAGGUAAUUUUUUGAGAUGGCAAAGGACCAAGAAUUAGCCAUGUAAUCUGGCAAGUGGUAAUGAUUUUUAUCCUUGGAAUAGGUUGAAUUGGAGUUCCCUUGUGGCACAGUGGGUUAGGAAUCUGGCAUUGUCACUGCAGUAGCUUGGAUUGCUGCUGUGGUACAGGUUCGAUCCCUGACCCAGGAACUUGCAUAUGCUAUGGGUGCAGAAAAAAAAAGGGCUGGGUUUAUAAAAUAUUCCACCAUUAGUGUACUCAUUAUUUCUUCUGAGGCAUAGACAUGCAGUUCGGAUAGUUGCUGCCCAGAGGUACUGGAAGACAGUUGUGAAGGCAGAAGCAUCAUCUUAUGAAUUGAAUCAGCAAUGAGGGUAGAUGGCAGGCAUGGGGAAGUGCUCUAAUUCUGAAUACAUGUGUGCCCAGGAUUCAUCCCUAGGGCACCAAAUUCUAGGUGUAGUUUAUAGAUAUUUUAUUAAUGUUUAAUUUAUAUUGGAGUAUAGUUGACUUACAGUGUUGUGUGAGUUUCAGGUGUGUACAGCAAAGUGAUCCAGUUAUACAUAUACAUAUAUCUUAUUCUUUUUCAGGUUCUUUUCCCAUACAGAUUAUUGCAGAAUACUGAAUAGAAUUCCCUGGGUGAUAUGGUAGGUCUUGUUGAUUAUCUAUUUUAUAUAUAGUAGACUUAUAUCACUUAGGAUAAUACCCUCCAGAUCCAUCCAUGUUGUUGCAAACAGCAAGAUUUCAUUUAAAAAAAAAUAUUGAAGUAUAGUUGAUUUAAAAUGUUGUGUUAAUUUCUGGUGUACGGCAAAGUGAUUCAGAGAUAUAUAUGUAUUCUUUCUCAUAUUCUUUUCUAUUAUGUUUAUCAUAGGCUAUUGAAUAUAGUUCCCUGUGCUAAACAGUAGAACCUUAUUUAUCCAUCCUAUAUAUACUAGAAUAUAUACUAUAUACUAAUAUAUAGUAUAUACAUAAAUACAUACAUACACUAGUAUAUACACUAUAUACUAAUCCCAAACUCCCAACCCUUCCCAUCCCCAACCCCUAUAGAAUGUCUUAAUUCAAUUCCAGCUAGAUAGUAGAAGUCCUUUCUGGACACAGUCAGAUUAGUUCAGUAACUGAGACAGGCUUGGGGGUGGAUUGAGUUUACCCAUUAGUUUAGGUUCAAAUGCAUAGAAGAGAAAUGAGACGUGGAAGAUAUAAUUCCUUUGAGGGGUGACUAAAGGAACAUGAUUAAAAAAGUAGAAAACUUGAGUGGUUCCAGAUUUGUGCCAUCUCUCCGAGCCUCUGAUAUAAAUUGUUGUUUGUAACCCAUACUUUGGGCAUACUUCCUGUGCUCCGUGUGUAAGCAUAUAUCUGUGGCUGGCUGGAGGAUGAACAAUGCCUUAGUCGAGGGUAUGAAAGGGGACCUUCAGACAGGAACCACAGUCCCAGAGAUUCAGAUGUGAGGGAAAUUCUGACCAUUUUCUUGCCUGUCCCCCCCAUCCUCUGCCUUCCAUUGGCCAAAAGCAAUUACAGGGCACAGGGCAAGAGAUCCAGGUAAUACCUUCUGCAGGAGUCAGCCCCUCCAGAGAUACAGAGACCAGAAGGAAACAGAAGGGACAAGGAGGAGUGGAGACUAACCGGUGUCUGUGUCUUACAGAUUAUAAUUAAUCCCGAUCAGGUGCUCAGUAAUGUCUGCCCUAGAGUUAGUCCCAUCUUGUAGAGCGUUAAUGCUCUCUGCCUAAAGAGACAAUCUUUGUUUCUUUUGAGAACCGAGAACAAAUAAAAGGAGUAGUAUCUUCUUAGUAAAUGAUGUUGGGGAAAUCAGAUGUCCAUGUGCAAAAGAAUGAAGCUGGGACUUUGCCUCACGCCAUGUGUAAAAAUUAACUCCAAAUGUAUCAAAGACCAAACCAUAAAAGCUACAACUAUAAAACUCUUACAAGAAAACAUAAGACAAAAGUUUCAUUCAUGACAUUGGAUUUGGCCAUAUAUGACACCAAAAACACAGGUAACAAAAGUAAAAAUUGAUAAAUUGGACUAAAUUAAAGUAAACUCUACAUCAAAGGAUAUAAUGAACAGAGUGAAAGUAUAGCCCUUAAAAUAGGAGAAAAUAUUGCAAAUCAUAUAUCUGAUGAAAGAUGAGUCUCCAGAAUCUAUGAAGAACUCCUACACCUCAACAACAGAAAAAAAAAGCAAGCAGAUUUAAAAUGGGUAAAGGAUUUGAAUAAAUAUUUGUUUCAAGAAGAUACACAAAUGACCAAUAAUCACAUGAAAAGAGGCUCCAUAUCACUAAUCAUUAGAGAAAUGCAAACCAAACCCCAAGGAGAUACAACCACACACCAAUUAGUGUGGCUACUAUAAAACAAAACAAAACCAAAACCAAAACCAAAACAAACAAACAAACAAAAACCCUCAGAAAAUAACAAGUGUUGGUGAGGAUGUGGGGAAAUUGGAAACCUUGUGCUUUGCUGGUGGGAAUGUAAAAUGUGAAGUUGCUAUGGGAGUUCCCAUUGUGGCUCAGCGGAAAUGAACCUGACUAGGAUCCAUGAAGACGCAGGUUCGAUCCCUGGCCUUGCUCGGUGGUUUAAGGAUCCAACAUUGCCAUGAGCUGUGGUGUAGAUCGCAAUGCAGCUCAGAUUUGAUAUUGAUGUGGCUGUGGUGUAGGCUGGCAGCUACAGCUCCAAUUUUACCGCUAGCCUGGGAACCUCCAUAUGCUGCAGG